GGGGAUGACUUGGUUUCGACUGGAGUAGUCGGAGCUAUGUGCAUGUCGGACUGAGCAUUUCCGUUAUACGGCUCAAAUUGCAUAACUGCAAACAAUACAGAUUAUCGUCCAGCUUACGCAGUAGCGUAAGUUUUAACCCCGAUUCGUCGGAGGACUGCCUCGCUAGUAAGUGUCAUCUUAGCUAGACUUUGAGGUAUCACAUCUGAUGACUAUGCUCUGUAGAAGCCAUGCUACAGUGUGAGAAUU
rnacentral:tmRNA from 1 species